rnacentral:rRNA from 3 species
AACUUUCAACAAUGGAUCUCUUGGCUCUGGCAUCGAUGAAGAACGCAGCGAAAUGCGAUAAGUAGUGUGAAUUGCAGAAUUCAGUGAAUCAUCGAAUCUUUGAACGCACAUUGCGCCCCUUGGUAUUCCAUGGGGCAUGCCUGUUCGAGCGUCAUCUAC